AACCCCCUUGGCGACCUCCCUCCAGGCCUCAUGAAGCUCAGGGCAGCCUCUGAGGUCACUCAGCUUGGUGGGACUUGGAGCGGAGUCUGCCUAGCCCCGGCCUCCAGCCGCCCCCAGGCUCAGCUCCGGGGCCAGCAGGAGCAGUAGGCCAUCGUCCCUGCCCUCACGCGAUUGCUGGCGGCGGUGGACAUCGGUCCAGAGCUCCAGAAUUCAACGAGACCGUUGCAUCGCGUGGCCUGAGCUCUGAAGAGCAGGUGGAUGGAUGGAUAAACGCUGGACGUCCAGACAAUGGAAUGUGACUUGGCGUUAAGAAGAAAUGAGCUAAGAAGCCACGAAAAGACUCGGAGGAACCUUAAAUGCACACGACUAAGUGGAAGAAACCAGUCUGAAAAGGCUACACACACACUGUGAUUCCAACUCUGGGCCAUUCUGGAAAAGACAGGACUCUGGAGCCGGGAGAAGGAUCAGAGGUACAUGAAAAGAUGCUCAACAUCGCUAAUCAUCAGAUAAAUGCAAACCAAAACCAC